rnacentral:piRNA from 1 species
UGAAACCUUUUUGUUAUGCAAGGGAAGA